GUUACUUUGGCAGAUUAGUGCAAUGGAUUUAGAAUCUAUUUAUGUAGUUUAUAUACAUGUAAUA
rnacentral:tRNA from 1 species